CAGAAAAGAUGCACAAAACCCCAACUGAAUGAAGACGUGCCACACACUCUGCCAACAGCUUCUCCUCUCUCAAUCUAGGAGCCACCACUGAAAUCAGCACUUGCUUGAUUGGAUCAGCCAUGAUUGCACACUACUUCAUGGUGCGUUAGACCAUUUCUCUGGGAAAUGAACUUUUGAACAUUGCAUCUCAUGAAUAAAAUUUCAGAUCAGGUUCUUGGCA
rnacentral:lncRNA from 1 species